ensembl:lncRNA
CUUGGGAAGAAAGUGUUUCAUAAGAGCAGAGCAAGUGAUUUAGUGAUGUUCUUUUUUACAUUAAAUGAGCCAGGAGAUCACAGAUGAAAAAACACUUAAAUAUGAUUUUAAAAUUAAUUAUGCUUCAUCCCAUAAUAGUAUUUAAAUUGCAUUUAAAUUGUUUAUUCAUGCACUGGACUUGUCAGACAGGAAAUGUGUUUUGCCCUUCCUCUGAAUGUGCAGAGCCUGCUUUGUGAACACAGUGUGGUCCCCGGGUUACACAUCAUGUUUGCAAAGACGAUAUCAAAGGACCUCAAGUACUUGGUGCAAUUCUCGACAGAAUGCCCAAUCAGUUCUGAGGCUGGUUCCAAUUUGUUCAUUAUUAUAGUGAAGUGUGUUUUGAAAUUAUCAGGAAAGGCUCAUCAUCCCAGACAAGCAAGAAGUCUCCAGGUCCGCAAACUGCAAGUCUCCCUCUGUGAAGGGCAUGCUGCCCGGAAGUGCUGUUAUUCACACAGAACACACAUCUCCACUGAAAGAGCGCCCCUCACUGCCCUGGAUCCCAGCGUGAAGCCACUACAUGUCUCUUCCCAGUAGGUACAAGAUUCUUUGAGAGUAAGGACAAUAUUAUAUUGAAAUUCAGCAACCUAGAACAGACCUUUGCCAACAGCAUGUGCACUAGAAACAUUUCUAAACAAACAAACUGAAAAUCUGGAGUCUUUGUGACUCUGCCAUCUUUAAAGUCCAGGCACCCAUCUUCAGAACAGCCAAGAAAAUGUGAAGAAGCCUGCUUGCUUCCUGACAAUGUGCUUGAAAGAAAUAUGCAUUCCAAUCCCCUUCUCCUCAUUGCAAGACCCUCUUCAUUGCACGACCCUCUAAAGAGAGAAUGAACUCGUCCCUGGCUGUCUCCUCACCGAACGCACUGCUCUAAGAACACUGAAAAAAUGACUCUUACAUUUGCCCUAACCAGUUUUACUAUGACACACAUGUGCGGAAGAGAACACAGCUCUAGCCCCUUUGUCAGGAUCUUCAAUGCACACUGCUCUAGUUCUGGCCUGAGUUUUCCCUCCUUUGCCUGUAAUGAACUUCACCCGACUCUCCCUCCACCUCAUAUCACUUGAUGGGCCCACAGGAGGCAAGGCCUCCAUCUGUCUCUCUCACACACACAAGACUGCAAGCAGCUUUGCCUGGCUUUGUCUGGCUUUGUCUCCCUAGUCAGAGCAGCUGCUAUCAGACAUCCCCCUCAUCAAGUUUUCACGUCAGUAUGGGAUGCCAAUAUGUACUCGUGUUGCCAACGAAUCAACAAGUAUUUGUGGACAGUCCACUCUACCCACUGAAUUCCAGACACUAUGAGAAACACAAAAGAAUUCUACAAGUGUUUCCCAAGCUCAAAGAAGCAUUAGUUGAGUGGAGCACAUCAAACAACAUUUUAAACAGACAGAAGAUCCCCAGCUGCUGGCCUGUAUAGCCUCAAUUCCAGAAAAGGUAGGUGCAGAGCUGACCACAUCUACAGGGCAUCAAAAGUAUUUCACUACAGUCACUCUCUACCAAAACCAUGGGGAAGCUGACCUCCCAGGAAUGUUAGUGCUGAUCCUAAUGAGAUGAGCCCAGUCCCCUCACACAGAGGCCCUGAGCCACGAAUCUCACUGAUCUCCCCCUCUGCACACUGCCCCCACCUCCCCCAGCAGGACCUUUAUAUGCAGGAAGCAAGUCCCAUGCUAAUUGUGAUUGAUUUACUGGGCUCUCAGAGGACUGUCUCCAUCACCUCUCACACCAGUGAGCUCUAAAUGACCUUGCAAAGACCACUGCUCAGAGGACAGCGAACCACACAGCUCCCAAAGGCAGAGCAAUUUUUAAUAGCCAUCACAGAAGUGUAAAGAUUGCAAUGAAACCAAGGAAAAAGUGUAAAACCAACCCUAAUUAAGUCACUUCCUAAAAGGCCAGGAAUUACUCUCUGCAAACCUUCACUAACGAGAGUUUCAAGAGCUGAGAGAAACCAGAUGUGCACAAUUUCCUGGACAGUGGAAGAAAUCACGGCAACUGGGGUUCUCUGUAUGCUCAACCUGCCAAUAGUGCUGGAAGCACUGAGGGCAAUAAUCAAUAAGUCAUAUUGCCAAAGUCUGUGGUGAGACCAUUCUAAAGGAAAAUCAAUCAUUUUGUUAUAAGUAGGCUGCUUGGAAGAUUUUAUUGAGAUUUUUUUUCUCUAAUGUUAAGCAGGAUGGUUCUAUUUGGUGCUCUUUUAAUUAAAAACAGACAGGCUUUGCAAAGCAACAUUCAAGUUCUGCCUGCACCUGAUUGCACAAUAAGAUGCACAAAUAUUUGUAUUCGUUUGAGCAUCAUGCUAAUUUAUGUUUUAUGUUGUACUGAUUGCCUGAAUCCUACUAGUUAAAUAAAACAUACCAUUACAUCCUAAAGGAUAUUAAAUUAUGAUGUUGG